rnacentral:tRNA from 1 species
AGCUCAGGGGAUAGAGCGCUUGGUUGCGGACCAAGAGGUCGGGGGUUCACCCGAAAACCCUUGAACGUACGCGGGUUCUUGAUCUUUCCCUCUCGUUACAGCGCUUGGUUCCUUCGGCGCCGGUGAUCCUCCUCCGGGAGGUCUGAUGUGUCGAUCGAGUCCCUCA